UACGUAGGGGGCAAGCGUUAUCCGGAUUCACUGGGCGUAAAGCGCGUGCAGGCGGUUCGGUAAGUUGGGCGUGAAAUCUCCUGGCUCAACUGGGAGAGGUCGUUCAAUACUACCGGGCUAGAGAGUGGUAGAGGAAGAUGGAAUUCCCGGUGUAGCGGUGAAAUGCGCAGAUAUCGGGGAGGAACACCUAUGGCGAAGGCAGCUCGCUGGGACGUUACUGACGCUGAGACGCGAAAGCGUGGGGAGCAAACAGG
rnacentral:rRNA from 1 species